UGAGGAGGGCCGCCGCCUUUUUCACAUCCUGUGAGCGGCGGCAUUUCUAACAUCCUGUUAG
rnacentral:sRNA from 1 species